UACAGAGGGUGCGAGCGUUGUCCGGAAUCACUGGGCGUAAAGGGCGCGUAGGCGGCCGUGUAAGUCACUUGUGAAAUCCCGGGGCUCAACUCCGGGGCUGCAGGUGAGACUGCGUGGCUAGAGCACGGUAGAGGCGAGUGGAAUUCCCGGUGUAGCGGUGGAAUGCGUAGAUAUCGGGGAAGAACACCGGUGGCGAAGGCGGCUCGCUGGGCCGUUGCUGACGCUGAGGCGCGAAAGCGUGGGGGAGCAAACAGG
rnacentral:rRNA from 1 species